rnacentral:tRNA from 1 species
UGGGGUGUAACUCAGUGGUAGAGUGUUUACCUAGCAGGCAUGAGGCUCUGGGUUUGAUCCCCAGCAAUACAA